rnacentral:rRNA from 1 species
UACGAAGGGGGCAAGCGUUGUUCGGAAUUACUGGGCGUAAAGGGCGCGCAGGCGGCCAUUCAAGUCAGAUGUGAAAGCCCCGGGCUCAACCUGGGAAUAGCAUUUGUGACUGCAUGGCUAGAGUGCGGCAGAGGGGGAUGGAAUUCCGCGUGUAGCAGUGAAAUGCGUAGAUAUGCGGAGGAACACCGAUGGCGAAGGCAAUCCCCUGGGCCUGCACUGACGCUCAUGCACGAAAGCGUGGGGAGCAAACAGG